rnacentral:snRNA from 1 species
AUACUUACCUGGCGCGGGGAUACCGUGAUCAAGAAGGCGGUGCCUCCAGGACGAGGCCUGUACAUUGCACUCCGUAUGGGCUCCUGCGACUACCCCAAAUCGGGGUGGCUCGAGCGCAUAAUUUUUGGUAGUGGGGACAAGCGUUCGCGCUGUCCCUU